rnacentral:rRNA from 1 species
GGUUAGCGGCGGACGGGUGAGUAACACGUGGGCAACCUGCCUGUAAGACUGGGAUAACUUCGGGAAACCGGAGCUAAUACCGGAUAAUCCUUUUCCUCUCAUGAGGAAAAGCUGAAAGUCGGUUUCGGCUGACACUUACAGAUGGGCCCGCGGCGCAUUAGCUAGUUGGUGAGGUAACGGCUCACCAAGGCGACGAUGCGUAGCCGACCUGAGAGGGUGAUCGGCCACACUGGGACUGAGACACGGCCCAGACUCCUACGGGAGGCAGCAGUAGGGAAUCUUCCGCAAUGGACGAAAGUCUGACGGAGCAACGCCGCGUGAGCGAUGAAGGCCUUCGGGUCGUAAAGCUCUGUUGUUAGGGAAGAACAAGUACCGGAGUAACUGCCGGUACCUUGACGGUACCUAACCAGAAAGCCACGGCUAACUACGUGCCAGCAGCCGCGGUAAUACGUAGGUGGCAAGCGUUGUCCGGAAUUAUUGGGCGUAAAGCGCGCGCAGGCGGUCCUUUAAGUCUGAUGUGAAAGCCCACGGCUCAACCGUGGAGGGUCAUUGGAAACUGGGGGACUUGAGUACAGAAGAGGAAAGCGGAAUUCCACGUGUAGCGGUGAAAUGCGUAGAGAUGUGGAGGAACACCAGUGGCGAAGGCGGCUUUCUGGUCUGUAACUGACGCUGAGGCGCGAAAGCGU